rnacentral:rRNA from 1 species
UUAUAAUAAAAUUUUAAUAAUUUAAUUAAUUUUAAUAAAUUUAUUUUAUUUUUAAUUUAUUUUAAAAAAACUGAAAAGGAAAUUAUUAUUAUAAUUUAAUAGAAAAUUUAAUGUACCUUUUGCAUUAGGGGUUUUUAAAAAAAAAUAAAAAUUUAUUUUUCUCGAAAUAUUUUGAGCUAAAAUUUAAUUUUUCUAAUGUUUCAAUAUUAAAUUAAAAUAAAUUUUAGAGGUGAAAUUCUUAUCAAAAAAUAUAAUAUCUAGUUAAAAAAAUUAAUUAAAUAUUAUUUUGUAAAAUUAAUUUAUUUUUUAUAAUUACAAAAAAAAGUUUUUGGGAUAAGCUAAAAAUUAUUAAAUUUAUAAUAUUUAAAAAAUUAAUAAAAGAAUUAAAAUUUUUCUAUUUAUUUUUAUAAAUAAAUUAAAUUUAAUUAAAAUUAAAAAAUUUUUUUUUUUAAAUUAAAUUUAAUAAAAAAUUUAAAAAAAAAUGAAAAUAUUAGUAAAAAAAUUUUUUAUUUAUAAUUUUUAAUAAUUAAUUAAAAGUUAAUUAAAUUUAAUUUUAAAGAACUAGGCAAUAACUUUUUUUGACUGUUUAAUAAAAACAACGCAUUUAGAUAAAGACAAUAAAUGCAAAUCCUGCUCAAUGAAAAUUUUUUUAAAUUGCUGUAGUAUUUUGACUAUACAAAGGUAUUGAAAUAAGGUUUUAAUUGAAUGCUAAAAGAAUGGAAUAUCAAAGAAUAACUUUCUUAAAAUUAAAAAUUGAAAUUUUUUUAAUUUGUGUAAAAACAAUUAUAAAAAUUAAAGACAAGAAGACCCUAAGAAUUUUUAAAAUUUAAAUUAAUACAUUUUUGUUUUAAUUAAAUUUUAACUGGGGCGGUUAAAAAAUAUUAAAAACUUUUUAAUUUUGAAAAUGACCCAUUAUUAAUGAAAAUAUGAUAAAAUACUCUAGGGAUAACAGCGUUAUAUUUUUUGAUAGAUCAUAUUGACAAAAAAGUUUGCGACCUCGAUGUUGGAUUAGGAUACUUUUUUAAUGAAGAUAUUAAAAUAAGAAGUUUGUUCAACUUUUAAAUUCCUACAUGAUCUGAGUUUAGACCGAUGAGAAUCAGGUUGGAUUCUAUCUUAAUAAAAAACUAAUUUUAUUUAGUACGAAAGGAAUUUUAAAAUCUAAUUUUUAGCCUUAUUUAUUUUAUUUGCAUCAAUUUUUGUAAUU